GAGUUUGAUCCUGGCUCAGAAUCAACGCUGGCGGCGUGCCUAACACAUGCAAGUCGAACGCGAAAGUCCCGCAAGGGAUCAGUAGAGUGGCAAACGGGUGAGUAACACGUGGGUGACCUGCCUUCGAGUGGGGGAUAACGUCCCGAAAGGGACGCUAAUACCGCAUGACAUCCGGCCUUUGAAUAGGUGGAGAUCAAAGCUGGGGAUCGCAAGACCUAGCGCUCAAAGAGGGGCCCGCGCNUGAUUAGAUAGUUGGUGGGGUAACGGCUCACCAAGGCAACGAUCAGUAUCCGGCCUGAGAGGGCGGACGGACACACUGGGACUGAGACACGGCCCAGACUCCUACGGGA
rnacentral:rRNA from 1 species